AAAUAAGAAGCAAACAUUGCAGCCAGUUUCGACCUGACCUUAGAUAAAUUAUAUCCUUAUUUA
rnacentral:tRNA from 1 species